rnacentral:lncRNA from 1 species
UAUGUUGUGUCUUUGUUCUUGUUGGUUUCAAAGAACAUCUUUAUAUCUGCCUUCAUUUCGUUAUGUACCCAGUAGUCAUUCAGGAGCAGGUUGUUUAGUUUCCAUGUCUUUGAGCGGUUUUGAGUGACCUGUAUACUUUAAAUCAUCUGUAGAUUACUUGUAACAUCUAAUACAGUGUAAAUGCUACGUAAAUAGUUGUUAUACCAUAUUGUUUGGGGAAUAAUGAGAAGAAAGCAAAAAGUCUGUACAUGUUGA